GAUGAACGCUGGCGGCGUGCUUAACACAUGCAAGUCGAACGAAGCUGCUUAAAGGAAGUUUUCGGAUGGAAUUUAGGUAGACUUAGUGGCGGACGGGUGAGUAACGCGUGGAUAACCUGCCUUAUACAGGGGGAUAACGGAGAGAAAUUUCCGCUAACACCGCAUAAGACCACAGUACCGCAUGGUGCAGGGGUAAAAUAUUUAUAGGUAUAAGAUGGAUCCGCGUCCGAUUAGCUAGUUGGUGAGGUAGAGGCUCACCAAGGCGACGAUCGGUAGCCGGCCUGAGAGGGUGAACGGCCACAUUGGGACUGAGACACGGCCCAAACUCCUACGGGAGGCAGCAGUGGGGAAUAUUGGACAAUGGGGGAAACCCUGAUCCAGCGACGCCGCGUGAGUGAAGAAGUAUUUCGGUAUGUAAAGCUCUAUCAGCAGGGAAGAAAAUGACGGACCUGACUAGAGCCCCGG
rnacentral:rRNA from 1 species